rfam:Streptomyces sp. 13-12-16 NODE_937_length_15724_cov_42.787651, whole genome shotgun sequence.
CAGCGCACUCCGGGGUCGGUGAAAGUCCGAACCGGCGGUUACAGUCCGCGACCCGGUCGCCUCCAGCGAUCGGUUGACCAGGUGAAAUUCCUGGACCGACGGUUAAAGUCCGGAUGGGAGGCAGUGCGCGG